rnacentral:rRNA from 1 species
AUUCCAGCUCCAAUAGCGUAUAUUAAAGUUGUUGCGGUUAAAAAGCUCGUAGUUGGAUUUCUGUUGAGGACGACCGGUCCGCCCUCUGGGUGAGUAUCUGGCUCGGCCUUGGCAUCUUCUUGGAGAACGUAACUGCACUUGACUGUGUGGUGCGGUAUCCAGGACUUUUACUUUGAGGAAAUUAGAGUGUUUCAAGCAGGCGUACGCCUUGAAUACAUUAGCAUGGAAUAAUGAGAUAGGACCUUGGUUCUAUUUUGUUGGUUUCUAGAGCUGAGGUAAUGAUUAAUAGGGAUAGUUGGGGGCAUUCGUAUUUAAUUGUCAGAGGUGAAAUUCUUGGAUUUAUUAAAGACGGACUACUGCGAAAGCAUUUGCCAAGGAUGUUUUCAUCA